rnacentral:rRNA from 1 species
GACAGAGGGUGCAAACGUUGUUCGGAAUUACUGGGCGUAAAGCGCGCGUAGGCGGCUUAGCAAGUUAGAGGUGAAAGCCCGAAGCUCAACUUCGGAAUUGCCUUUAAAACUGCAAAGCUAGAAUCAUGGAGAGGUGAGUGGAAUUCCGAGUGUAGAGGUGAAAUUCGUAGAUAUUCGGAAGAACACCAGUGGCGAAGGCGACUCACUGGACAUGUAUUGACGCUGAGGUGCGAAAGCGUGGGGAGCAAACAGG